GAAUCACUAGCUCAGUCGGUAGAGCACUUGACUUUUAAUCAAGUUGUCCAGGGUUCGAUUCCCUGGUGGUUCACCA
rnacentral:tRNA from 1 species